rnacentral:rRNA from 1 species
UGGGGAAUUUUGGACAAUGGGGGAAACCCUGAUCCAGCCAUCCCGCGUGUGCGAUGAAGGCCUUCGGGUUGUAAAGCACUUUUGGCAGGAAAGAAACGUCAUGGGUUAAUACCCCGUGAAACUGACGGUACCUGCAGAAUAAGCACCGGCUAACUACGUGCCAGCAGCCGCGGUAAUACGUAGGGUGCAAGCGUUAAUCGGAAUUACUGGGCGUAAAGCGUGCGCAGGCGGUUCGGAAAGAAAGAUGUGAAAUCCCAGAGCUCAACUUUGGAACUGCAUUUUUAACUGCCGGGCUAGAGUGUGUCAGAGGGAGGUGGAAUUCCGCGUGUAGCAGUGAAAUGCGUAGAUAUGCGGAGGAACACCGAUGGCGAAGGCAGCCUCCUGGGAUAAUACUGACGCUCAUGCACGAAAGCGUGGGGAGCAAACAGG